rnacentral:misc_RNA from 1 species
GAUGAAGAACGCAGCGAAAUGCGAUAAGUAGUGUGAAUUGCAGAAUUCAGUGAAUCAUCGAAUCUUUGAACGCACAUUGCGCCUCCUGGUAUUCCGGGAGGCAUGCCUGUUCGAGCGUCAUUAAAAUCACUCAAGCUUAGGUUUACCUAUUGCUUGGUCUUGGAGAUGGAAGCCAAUUCAUUGGAAUCCUCUUCGAAAUCCAAUGGCGAAGACCCUUGCUCUCCCAAGUGUAGUAAUAACUUAUGUCACUGAAGGAAGCGAGAAAUCUUCCGCCGUAACCCCCCUAUUUUCUAUGAUUGACCUCGGAUCAGGUAGGGAUACCCGCUGAACUUAAGCAUAUCAAUAAGCGGAGGA